rnacentral:rRNA from 1 species
UACGUAGGGGGCUAGCGUUGUCCGGAAUCAUUGGGCGUAAAGCGCGUGUAGGCGGUUCGGUAAGUCCGCUGUGAAAGUCGGGGGCUCAACCCUCGGAUGCCGGUGGAUACUGUCGGACUAGAGUGCGGAAGAGGCGAGUGGAAUUCCAGGUGUAGCGGUGAAAUGCGUAGAUAUCUGGAGGAACACCGGUGGCGAAGGCGGCAUCCUGGACCAACACUGACGCUGAGGAGCGAAAGCCAGGGGAGCAAACGGG